GACGAACCGUGCGAACGUUGUUCGGAAUCACUGGGCUUAAAGGGCGCGUAGGCGGGCUCCCAAGUCUGGGGUGAAAUCUUUCGGCUUAACCGGAAAAGUGCCUCGGAUACUGGGAGCCUUGAGGGAGGCAGGGGCGGAUGGAACUUCCGGUGGAGCGGUGAAAUGCGUUGAUAUCGGAAGGAACGCCGGUGGCGAAAGCGGGUCUCUGGGCCGAUACUGACGCUGAGGAGCGAAAGCGUGGGGAGCGAACAGG
rnacentral:rRNA from 1 species